UACGUAGGGUGCGAGCGUUAUUCGGAAUUACUGGGCGUAAAGCGUGCGCAGGCGGUGAUGUAAGACAGAUGUGAAAUCCCCGGGCUUAACCUGGGAACUGCAUUUGUGACUGCAUCGCUGGAGUGCGGCAGAGGGGGAUGGAAUUCCGCGUGUAGCAGUGAAAUGCGUAGAUAUGCGGAGGAACACCGAUGGCGAAGGCAAUCCCCUGGGCCUGCACUGACGCUCAUGCACGAAAGCGUGGGGAGCAAACAGG
rnacentral:rRNA from 1 species